rnacentral:rRNA from 1 species
UACGUAGGGCGCAAGCGUUAUCCGGAAUUAUUGGGCGUAAAGAGCUCGUAGGCGGUUUGUCGCGUCUGCCGUGAAAGUCCGGGGCUCAACUCCGGAUCUGCGGUGGGUACGGGCAGACUAGAGUGAUGUAGGGGAGACUGGAAUUCCUGGUGUAGCGGUGAAAUGCGCAGAGUAUCAGGAGGAACACCGAUGGCGAAGGCAGUGUUCUGGGCCAGUGACUGACGCUGAGGAGCGAAAGCGUGGGGAGCAAACAGG